UGGGGAAUAUUGCACAAUGGGCGCAAGCCUGAUGCAGCCAUGCCGCGUGUAUGCAGAAGGCCUUCGGGUUGUAAAGUACUUUCAGCGGGGAGGAAGGGAGUAAAGUUAAUACCUUUGCUCAUUGACGUUACCCGCAGAAGAAGCACCGGCUAACUCCGUGCCAGCAGCCGCGGUAAUACGGAGGGUGCAAGAGUUAAUCGGAAUUACUGGGCGUAAAGCGCACGCAGGCGGUUUGUUAAGUCAGAUGUGAAAUCCCCGGGCUCAACCUGGGAACUGCAUCUGAUACUGGCAAGCUUGAGUCUCGUAGAGGGGGGUAGAAUUCCAGGUGUAGCGGUGAAAUGCGUAGAGAUCUGGAGGAAUACCGGUGGCGAAGGCGGCCCCCUGGACGAAGACUGACGCUCAGGUGCGAAAGCGUGGGGAGCAAACAGG
rnacentral:rRNA from 1 species